CACGGGGGUUGCGAGCGUUGUCCGGAAUUACUAGGCGUAAAGGGCAGGCAGGCGGAUCCAUAAGUUUAUCGUUUAAGGCGUCGGCUUAACCGGCGUAGGGCGGUAGAUACUGUUGAUCUGGAAUGCGGUUGGGGAAGACAGAAUUCCUGGUGUAGCGGUGGAAUGCGUAGAGAUCAGGAGGAAUACCGAAGGCGAAGGCAGUCUUCCAAGCCGUUAUUGACGCUCAACUGCGAAGGUGUGGGUAUCAAACAGGAUUAGAUACCCUGGUAGUCCCUGAG
rnacentral:rRNA from 1 species